rnacentral:lncRNA from 1 species
UUUUUAAAAAUUUUAUAAAAGUUAAAAAAAAAUUUUAUUUUUCGAAUCUUUUUUAUUUUUUCAUUUUCAUUUUUUUUGUUCUAUGUUCUAAUUUUUCAAUAACUUUUUCCCUUUGAAAUUUUCUUUCUUUUGCUUUUUUUUUUUUCAUAUGCUUUCAGUUUUACUUGUUUUAAUUUUUUCGUUGUUUUAAAACUUUUUACAUUUCUUUUUUCUUUUUUUAUUCCAAAUCUUUUGUCUUUUCAUUUUUAUUCUUUUCUUAUUUUUUCACAAAUUUCCUUUCAUUUCUUAUUUGCAUUUUUAAAUUAUUAGACUUUUUUUGUGCACUUUCUUUUUGUUUUUAUUUAUAUUUUUUAUUAACUUUUAUUUUAUUUUUUAUCUUUGAUUUUUUAUAUCUUUUUCCUAUAUUUGUUAUAUUUUUGUUGUUUUUCUUUGUAUAUUCUGAACUAAAAGUUUUUUCUAUUUUGUAUUUGAAAUUUUUAUUCAUUUUGUCUUUUGUAUUUUUUUAUUCGCUAAUUUUUUAAUAUCUUACUUUUUUAUUUUUUGCUUUUUUGGUAUUUUAUUUAAUUUUUUCUUCCAUAUUAAUAUUUUAUCUUAAUUUAUUUUUCCAUUUAUUUUUAUUUAUAUUUUAAAAAAUUUUUAUAAAGUUCAAAAUUUUUUAUUUUUAUUUUUUGAAUCUUUUUUAUUUUUUUCUUGCUAUUUUUGUCCUACUUUGUAAUUUUUUAAUAACUUUUUCCCUUCAAAAUUUCCCUUCUUUUUACUCUUUCUUCAUAUGCUUUCAUUUUUACUUGUUUUAAUUUUUUCGUAAUUUUAAAAAUUUUUAUUUUUCUGUUUUUUAUUCCAAAUCUUUCGUCUUUUCAUUUUUGUUCUUUUUUUUUUCACAAAUUUCCUUUCAUUUCUUAUUUGCGUUUUUAAAUUCUCAUACUUUUUUUUAUUUUGCAUUAAAUUUUCUCUUUUUUAAUUUUUUGUCGCACUUUUUAUAUUGUUUUAUUAUUAGGACUUAUAUGUUUUUCAAUUUUUUUUCAUUUUGUCAUUCCAUUUCAUUUUUGAAAUUUUUCUUCAAUUUUUGUCCUUUUUUAUUUUCUUACUUUUUAUAUUUUUUUUUUUCUUUUUUUGUGCUUUAUUUAUCUUUUUUCUUUUGCUUUAAUUUUUUUUCUUAUUUUAUUUUUAUUUUUUUAUUUCUUUCUUUUUUUAUAGUUUCAUAAAUUUUUAUUAAGUUUUGAAAUUUUUUAUUUUUCUAUCUUUUUUUCUUUUCUUUUUUUAUUUUAUCAUUCUCGGUUAUUUUUUAUUGCAUUUUUAUAAUUUUUCAUUAACUUUUUCUCCUUUCAAAUUUUUCUUCACUUUUUUCUUUGUUUUAAAAUUUUCUAUAAAUUUUUUUCUUUUUGUUUUAUUUCAUAUUUUUGCCUCUUCAUUUUUUAUUUUUUUUCUUUUUUCUCA